rnacentral:rRNA from 1 species
CGAAAGGUUUGGCGGUGAAGGAUGGGGAUGCGUCUGAUUAGCUUGUUGGUGAGGUAACGGCUCACCAAGGCGACGAUCAGUAGGAGUUCUGAGAGGAAGGUCCCCCACAUUGGAACUGAGACACGGUCCAAACUCCUACGGGAGGCAGCAGUGAGGAAUAUUGGUCAAUGGGCGAGAGCCUGAACCAGCCAAGUAGCGUGCAGGACGACGGCCCUAUGGGUUGUAAACUGCUUUUAUAUGGGGAUAAAGUGAGUUACGUGUAGCUUAUUGCAGGUACCAUAUGAAUAAGGACCGGCUAAUUCCGUGCCAGCAGCCGCGGUAAUACGGAAGGUCCAGGCGUUAUCCGGAUUUAUUGGGUUUAAAGGGAGCGUAGGCCGCCCCUUAAGCGUGUUGUGAAAUGCCGCGGCUCAACCGUGGCACUGCAGCGCGAACUGGGGGGCUUGAGUGCACGCAACGCAGGCGGAAUUCGUGGUGUAGCGGUGAAAUGCUUAGAUAUCACGAAGAACUCCGAUUGCGAAGGCAGCUUGCGGGAGUGCGACUGACGCUGAAGCUCGAAGGUGCGGGUAUCGAACAGGAUUAGAUACCCUGGUAGUCCGCACAGUAAACGAUGGAUGCCCGCUGUGUGCCCUAGAGGUACGCGGCCAAG